rnacentral:rRNA from 1 species
GGAAUUUUGCGCAAUGGGCGAAAGCCUGACGCAGCGACGCCGCGUGGAGGAUGAAGGCCCUUGGGUCGUAAACUCCUUUCGGGUGGGAAGAAAAGCUUCGGCCGAACAAGUCGAAGUCCUGACUGUACCACCGGGGAACCCCCCGCGCACUCCGUGCCAGCAGCCGCGGUAAUACGGCGGGGGCAAGCGUUGUUCGGAAUUACGGGGCGUAAAGGGCGCGUAGGCGGCCGUUCAAGGCGGGUGUGAAAUCCCUCAGCUCAACUGAGGAACUGCACCCGAUACUGUUCGGCUAGAGUCCGAGAGGGGAUAGCGGAAUUCCCAGUGUAGCGGUGAAAUGCGUAGAUAUUGGGAAGAACACCGGUGGCGAAGGCGGCUAUCUGGAUCGGUACUGACGCUGAGGCGCGAAAGCCAGGGGAGCGAAU